rnacentral:rRNA from 1 species
UACGAAGGGGGCUAGCGUUGCUCGGAAUCACUGGGCGUAAAGCGCACGUAGGCGGCUUUCUAAGUCAGGGGUGAAAUCCUGGAGCUCAACUCCAGAACUGCCUUUGAUACUGGAAAGCUUGAGUUCGGGAGAGGUGAGUGGAACUGCGAGUGUAGAGGUGAAAUUCGUAGAUAUUCGCAAGAACACCAGUGGCGAAGGCGGCUCACUGGUCCGGUACUGACGCUGAGGUGCGAAAGCGUGGGGAGCGAACAGG